GCCAUUGAUAGUAGUAGUUGAACUUAACAUUGCCCUAAUAUGCUUUCAUUGUAUAAUUAUUGAUAGUUUAGGCCUUAUUUGGGCACUAUGGGAUUGAGGCUAAUCAUAUAAGAUUUAACAAUCUCAAGGGUAAAACUCCAGUAGAGAUGGGAAUGAGAUGUUUGGAUGAUUAAACUUAAGGGUGUUUAACCUUUAGGAAUAUGAAAAUAAUGAGCUCAAGAGGACAUUAUUUUUAUCCCACCAUCAUUGGGCUCCACUUCUCCACCAACCUACAACCCUCCACUCCCCGUGAUGCCUCCCCG
rnacentral:lncRNA from 1 species